rnacentral:lncRNA from 10 species
GAGCUCCGGGCAGGUCCUGAGUUCCCUCGCGCAUGCAUGCAGCCAUUCGUUCCACAGCCAUGACUGGGCACCUACUGUGUGCCAGGCCCUCAGUGAUUUCAUGCCUAGGGAAGGCAAGAAGUCGGCGCCCAAAGAAACUUUGAAAUGAGGAGUCUUGCACGACGGGUGCGCGGUUGAGCUGAGGUCCCGCUGACUUCCAGUCCAGUGCUCGUCCCUUGGCACUAGCUUGAGCUGAUGGACGGUCUGAUUGGGUGACACUGAGAAGGUGAUAGUGGUAUUUCAGCCACGCAGAUAAGCAGGGAAGAGCAUUCCUGGCCGAGGGAACAGCCAGUGCCAAGACCCAAAAGAGCGCCGGACCGCUUAGGGAACGGCAAGGAGGCAGAGGAGCAGAUGAGGUUCUGGGAAUACAGUGAAGACCUUGACUUUGUGGAGCUUAUUGUAUGGAGGAGAAGCAAAAUAGCGUCAUUGAUAUCUGCUUCUAAGAU